AGAAAAGAGUUGUCUUUCUUCAGGACAUCGCAUCUGACGUCAUAGUACAAACCUCCCUUGCUGGCGCACUAUUUGAAAAAAAAUCGCAAAUUGGACGUUUGAAACCCACAUUUAAAUUUCCAAGAAUAACAACUAUAUUCACCUACUUUAUUAUCCGGUAAUACAAGAGAUUAAAUGCAUGUGUCAGUAUUUGAUCUUAUGAUGUUGUUGCCGCACAAUAUUAACCUUCAGAAACCCCAUCCGUCGGAAUGGAAAAUUGUUUGAAAUAACCUUUCUCGCAGC
rnacentral:lncRNA from 1 species